UAAUACGUAGGGUGCAAGCAUUAUCCGGAAUUAUUGGGCGUAAAGCGUCUGUAGGCGGCGAAUUAAGUAAGAGAUUAAAUCUUCGGGCCCAACCCGAAACAUGUCUUUUAAACUGGUUUGCUUGAGGUAUGGAGGGGUAACUGGAAUUCCUGGUGUAGGGGUAAAAUCCGUUGAUAUCAGGAGGAACGCUAAAAGCGAAGGCAGGUUACUGGCCAUUUCUGACGCUGAGAGACGAAAGCGUGGGUAGCAAACAGG
rnacentral:rRNA from 1 species